rnacentral:rRNA from 1 species
UACGUAGGUGACAAGCGUUGUCCGGAUUUACUGGGCGUAAAGAGCGCGCAGGCGGUCGUUCAAGUCGAGUGUGAAAGCCCCCGGCUCAACUGGGGAGGGUCACUCGAUACUGAUCGACUUGAAGGCGGGAGAGGGAAGCGGAAUUCCCGGUGUAGUGGUGAAAUGCGUAGAUAUCGGGAGGAACACCAGUGGCGAAGGCGGCUUUCUGGCCCGUUCUUGACGCUGAGGCGCGAAAGCUAGGGUAGCAAACGGG